rnacentral:lncRNA from 1 species
UAACACUCCUAAGUGUACAUGCAACCCUAAAUACCUUGGAUCUAUGUUUUCUCUAUUAUACAUGCAAAUAUCAACUUUUCCAAGGUAUUGUUCUAUUCUAGCAUACAAAACUUUGAAUAACACAAGUUAGAAUAACAUACCUUUUGUUGGUGCUUGUCUUCAUGAAGCUUGAGUGCCUAGUGCCCCAAGUGUGACACCUCAAAUGGUUCACACAACACCAUAAGCACUUGGAAUAACUUAGAGAGAAAUUAGAACACUUCAAGAAUCGGCUUGCCCUCCAUGCAUAUCAUAGUCGCCAAUUUUCCCAAGAAAGAGAUCAUUAUAUAGUGUGUUACAAUUAGGGUAAACCCUAAUUGUCAUGGCUAUCCAUUUCCAUGGAUCCAUGGGUUCAAAUACACCAUGGAGCAUCCAAUGGGUUUUAGCCCAACUUGAUAAUCCAUGGAGCAUUAGCCCACUAUAUAAGUAUGGAUGAUUUACACAAUCAACCCAUAUAUUUAAUUAGUCUUCUUUUGAUCACAUAAUUAAUUCUAAAUUAAUUAUUGAUCAAUACUAAUUAAAUAAUCUUAUUAAUAUAUUAGAACUUAUAAUAUAUUAAUAAACCUUAAGUGUUAUUUCUCUCAUUUUAGUCUAUCCAAGUGCAUGAUGCCAUGCAACCCAAAUGGACCAUGCCGGGUCGGGUCAAGUCUUACCAAUUAUAGUUAUGGACUUAGACAUUAAUCCAACAGUCUCCCACUUGGAUAAGUCUAAAACUAUUAUUGCGUAUGACUUCAGGAACCGACUGGCAAUCGUAGCUCUCAAAAGCUUCUGUCGAACUCUGACCUUGUAGAUGAACUCUGACCUUUGUCAAUGACUUGUCCAUUAGAUAAGGGAUCAUAUAUUCCUCCAUUCUAGAUAUCAUAUGGACUGAGACAUGGAUUAUAAUCAUUCUCUCUGUCCAUUUGUUGUUUCCCGAUUUCUGAUUUAUGACGACUGACUAAUUGAACAAAUCAAAUCAGUCCAGGCCCGGCCGAGCACUUACUUUUGUCAUCACUAAAUCAUCGAGGGGCCCACAGAUAUCGCUUUUAUCCCGAAGGUAAAAGGAAUGGAUAAACUUCGACUCAUAUGCUUGUACUAACUAUUUGUUGAAUCAUACACAAAGGCACGUUUUAUAACAUCGAGUUACCAAUGCGUUUACGUGCAAUCAAUGUAUAACCAACUCAUAGUCAACAACUCAUAUCUCUAGGUUUGAAGAAUAUAAGAUAUUAUCGUCUCAUGAUUCACUCGUGAUAAAAUCCAUGAAGUGAAUCCAAAUGAGCGUGGGUUGAAUCCAAUACUCAGCCCUUAUGAGUACUCAUGAAUGUUGUAGCAACUAUUGCAUUGUCUAAAGCACUUUAGACAAAUCAUACAAGCCAAAUUCACGACAGUCUUGAUUCAUAUCUACUUCCAACAUAUGACCGACUGUGGAUGGUUUGAAUAACUUGGUCAUUCAGGAGAAUGACCUAGUUAUUCUGGAAGUCAAAACAUGCAAAGUGAAACACAAAAUAAUACUAGUCCUAUAUGGCCUCAACACUUUGAGCGUAAAUAAAACACCUUUUAUCUAAGCACCAUAUUGAUCACUCAUUAUUCAUGUUUCGAUUAAUCAACUUAAUACUUGAAUUGAAACAGUAGUGAUGCCAUGCUCCAAGCAUGCAUACUAUGUUUCUCUAAACAAUAGCUAUGCCAUACUCCAAGUAUGCACACUAUGUUUACAUAUGGUCAUCUCUUUGUGAAAUGUAUAUCAAUUGAACAUGACUUCAAUGAUUCUCAUUUCACAAUCCCAAUCCUUAUUGUAAAUGUAAGAAUACCAAGUUCUUGUCAUUUACCGUAAUCUAUGCAAUGAUCCUCUUGUAAUGAUAUUCACACAAGUCACAAAGACUUGGCAACAAACAUUACAAAGUAUUCCAAUGGAAAGCAAUUCCAUGGAGAUGAAGUCUCAAAUUCAAAGUACAUUCCUUUGAACAUCCUUCUUUGCAUUAAGUUCUUUAAUCUUACACAGAUUCAAAGAAUAACUUCCACCUAUGGAAACAAUUCCAUAUUCCCAUCUUGACCAUCACUUUUGAACAAGAGUUGCCUCUUUCCAAAAUAUGUCAAUACGAUCCUUACUCUAUACUUCCAAUUGUCCAUGAGUAACCAAACUUUGGAAAACCCCAAAUUGUUCUCGACAAUUGCUUAAUCAUCUUAGUCAUAUCCAGUUCUAAUCCCUUUUCCCUUCUUAACGCCCUAAGCAUUAGGAAAAUUUAGAAUGGAUGAAUAUUAUAACACAUGCAAUCGAUCCUAUAUCCGAAGCAUAUGGGAUACGAUUCAUGCUAUAAAAUUUUUAUUUGCCAUGUUCUCAUAAUUCGAACUAUGAAGAGGGAUGCCGUAAUCAUAAUCGAAUUUUGAGAAAGCAACAUAUAUAGAAAUUCCUUAUGUUGAACCAUUCCAACAUAACAUUCAUAUAUAUUCUUGACUAAAGUUGAUUAAAAUCUCAAUCUAAGCUUGUAGAAUUGGAAUGAAGUAUAAAUUUCUCUCCCUUAAUUAUAGUAAAACAACUUUUUCAAAGCGAGUUGAAACUUUUGUUUUCUAUAAUUAACAUUGCUAACUUGCAACAUAAUCAUCAUGCUCCCACUAGCAUAAUGAUUAUUAUCUAACUAGCAUAACACUUUAUGCUCCCACUAGCUUUGACAUGUACCUAGAAAUCAGUCAGAUUUCUGAUACUAGAUUGCCUUGAUAAGACUUUAUCAAAUCAUACACCUGGAGUCUAAACCUUUCCUUAGAUAGCUCACAUGUGAGUCUAAACCUUUGCCAUUCUCAUUAGUUAGUGUGCCGGUUAACCACACACGCUCCACUAACGACAUGAGAAUGCAAACUUCACACUUGCUAUCCACUUAAAUCUACUUAGUGAAAGAGUUUCCUCACUAUCAUUUUCAUGAAUCGGAGAGAAACCUUAUGACACUUAGAUUUUGAUGGUGUAUGUGUUCCUAUCCAUGUGAAUUUGACAUAACCAUAAUCACACGACAAGGUUAAUGACAAAUCCAAAUUCAUAUGGACUGAACUUGUGCAGUCUUAAUUUCUUGCCACCUGGUAGCACAAGGGCCUGCCAUUGCUUCCAAGUUGUUAUGCAACCAGUUGAGAACUCUCAGAACUCCAAUGCAAAACCAACUUUAACUGGAAUGGGCACAGAAUAUGUCAACACGAUAGGUUACAAACCUCAAGUCGUGGUCUAGUGAUUAACAAAACUCUUGAUUAGUUCUUGAAUCUAUCUUAAGAUCCUUUUAAGACUCCCACUGACCUCUUGACAUAUAAGAUUCUCUUUGUCAAGAACCAUUCCUUGACAAAAACGAAUAUUCAAGAGUUAGUGCAGAUUCUUAUCAAGUUAAACACUUCUCACAAUUGGUCUUAGUUGGUCUUUGUUUUAUCCAAAACAUCACAACUUACCAAUUUCAAAUGUACAAGAGUAAGAACACAUUUUACUCUACAUUUAACAAGUGUUUUAAACCUUUCUUAAGAUUAUGUCACUCAAGGCUUAAUCUUGGAGUAUGACUCUAAGAUUUAAUUUUGGAACGAAGUAUAAUUUAUCUUUUGAUCUAACCAUUUCAACAAUUCACGAUUCCUCUCCUUAGCCAAACAAAAUGAACUAAGGUGUCCUUAGAGGAUCAAUUGUGACAUGGUUUCAUAAUCACUAAGAUAAUCAUAAAACAAGAUACUCAAGUACUCUCCCAUCUCUUCAGAUUAGAGAAACUUUUAUCUUUCUGCCUUAUUUGAUUCUUCUUACUCAUUAUGUCUAUCAUUGAAACUUCUCCAAUGAUCCAGAACUAUACUUAAACUUGUAAGUAUAACCAUAUUUACUAAACUUUAGUAAAUCAUAAUGAAUAAUCUUAUCAACUUUGUGGUGGACUUGAUCAGCGCACACCCAAGUGUAUCCGAUCCCUUUGUCCUUCACUUGAUUCACAUAUACAUGUGAACAAGGAAUUAGACUUAAUUUCCCAAAUAUAAAAAAAAUUCUCAUGAUCAUACAAUACAAGUUGCAUGAUUCCAAGUUUCUAUCCAACUGAAACUUGGGUGAUGAGAAUCUUUCCUUAUUUGGUAAAUUAUGACACUUCCACUAAUGAAAGAAUCAAAUCCAUUUACCCAUAUUGCUUAUCAAUGGAAACAUAUAAUCAACAAUUUUUCACAAAUGCCAUUGUAAGGAUACUUAAAAUAAAUAAAAUCAAAACCAUUUUUCUUUUAUUUUAAAACUUUGCGGAAAAAUUUAUCCUUACAAUCCAUAUGGAAAACUUGUUGUUAUCUAUUCCUAAGCAAUAUAUCAUAACUCUUAAGUAACAACUCAAAAUUCUGAUCACCGAACCAUGCGAUCGAAAUCCAUCUUCGCGAUCAGAAUCAGCAUAUACUUCCUUUAAGUUUCUUCACUUUUUCUUUGAUUCUUAAAACAUCAACAUGUGACCUCGUCACAUUAUGCAAUAAGAAUCUCAGAAUAGAAACUUAAUAGAGUUAGACAAUGGACUUUACCUGAAGUAGAGUCAAACCUAUUGACUUUACCAUCCUUAAGAUGUUUCAGGUAAAUUUAGCAGCUUCGCAACCAAUGUCUUUCCUUUGGCAACAGAAUCAUAUGGACUCUUUGGAAACGGUACAUGGGACUAUCACAGACUUAACCUUUCUCUUUACCAUUUGGUCAACCGAGUUGACUAUGGCCGAUCCCUUUCCAUUGGGAAGAGAAAGUUUUUCCUGGACCUCCAAUGUCACCAUUUUCAAUGUCCAAAUAGGUUUGGAAAGUAGAUCUUCCAAUCCAAUUUGCUUUACUAAUGCUCCAAAUCACUGCUGAUUUAGCAUCAUCAAGCAAAUAGGUAAGAUCAUUAAGGGUCUUGUCGCGACCUGUCAUCAGGGAGUGACUGAAGAACCAAGUCAGCAGCCAGCUACCUCGAGACUUCGACACCCGACUCUCCCGACUUGUCAAUAUGUGGCUUAAUCCCCAAGAUCUAAGCACAUAUAGACUUUGCUUGCCAAUAGGGAUUGAGUGACUUAGAACUUAUCAAGUCUUAAAACUUGUGGGAUAGGGAGAUUUAUUGGAGGAGGUGGAUGAAGUGAAGUAUGAUUUCUAGUCCCACAAAUGCCCAACAAAGGGAUUGAUCUUUCACCUUGAUUGCCAUUUGGGAUAUCAUCUUCAUUAGGAAGCUUGUUCCUAAAGAUUUGGGAAGACCAUAGCUGUCUAAACUAGACAUCUAUAAUGGGAGAAAUUCAAGUUAGUUGAUUUAAAGUCCUUAAUAUAACACCCAAUAUGAAAUAUUAAGGCUAGGACCCAACAACCUAUUUAUAACUGGAAGAGGGAUGCCGUAAUCCAAAUUAUAAAAUAGUUGAAGGUAGGUAAAUGACGAUUUACCAAUUUCCACCAUGAAAACGAAAUAUUUUAUUAUUAGGUUUUAUUGGUUUUGAAACUCCUAGAUCUUUUGAGAUACAUUGAACUUUUCAAUGGCAUGUUUGAAUCUCGAUUGUGCCCUCUCAAAUUUGUGACUGGGAUGCCGAGGAUCACAAACAAGGUGUGAAUAACCAUACAAAUUGACUUGGUACCCUUAACAAUAUUACCUAAUCGAUGUGCCGGUUAACCACACACGCUCCACCGAUCUAUAAUAAAGUCAAGUUACCCUUUGCCACUCUUACUAGUCCAUGUUAGUGUGCCGGUUAACCACACACGCUCCACUAACGACUUGGUAAGGUACAAAGUGUAAUUUUAUGGGCUAGCACCUUUUCACAUUUUCCUAAGUAACUAAGAUUGGGAAUUUAUAAGUGUUUAGUUACUUAGUAUUUUUCAUUAUACUUUUAAUGAAGGGAGAAUUAUAGUCCAUUCCUACCCGUUCGGCUAACGACCCUCCACCAGUCAAGGAAGCGGUGGGUGAGAGUGGACACCCAUUAAACUGCCAUUUUAUAGGCAGUAACCUUAUACCCCCCUUAUAGACCGGCUUCGUGAAUGAGGCCUACUAACGGUAAGAUUGACUUCCUCUUAUACAUAUCUAUAUAAUUAAAAUUAUAAUAAUAGUAUAAGGGUUGAAUUUUAAACUUUUUAAAAUUUCAAUGUUCAAUUUGGAAUUAAAGUAUACAUGAGGAGUAACUUUUCAAAUUCCAAAACUUGAGGGCAAGUUUUGAAACUAUUUCAAGACUCUUUAAAUCAUAACUUAUGAGUUUAAUGGUUCAUUAAAAUGAAGACUCUUCAUUUUAAUGUAACCCCUUAUUCUUUAAAAACACUUUAAAGAAGUGUCUCUUCAACAUCCAUAACUUGAGGACAAGUUAUGGAGUCAUUAAACUAUUUAAUGGAAAAAACUCUUACAUUUUAUGUAACCUACAAAACUUUUAUGAGUUUUUAAGAUUCAUAAAUAUGACUUUUCACAUAACUUGAAGACAAGUUACAAAAACAUAUUUUAUGAACUUCUUUUAGACUAAUAUGGAUUGAAAACAACUAAAACAUAAUUUUUUCAUUAUCAAUCUAAACUAACUCAUAAAUCAAGGAAACAUAAAAUUCUUGAAAAUUCAUAACUUGAGGACAAGUUAUGAACUCCAUACAAUUUUCAACAAGAUCAUGAAUUAUAUCAACAAACAAUUUGCACACAAUUCCUAUGAUCUAGCAAAACUCAUAAGCAUGAUCAUUCAUAAUCAACAAUUUUCAAGAAUAACAUGAACACAUAUAAACUUGAAACUUUUAUUAUAGCAUUGAAAUUGGUUUAACAUAAUCAUUACCACAUUCAAAACAAGUUUUAUAAGCCCAAAACAGUCAAAGGUAAUGAUUCUAGACCAAUUCCAGCACCAAAACUCGAAAAUAUGCUGUCUGGGGGUCCAACUCGUCGAGUGCAUGAACAAACUCGGCGAGUUGGAUGCAUUUUGCCUUGGACUCGUCGAGUCCCUUCAUGGACUCGGCGAGUCUGCUGGGCAGACAGCACCAAAAGUCGAUUUUUAAGCAGUUUAAGCAAGUACAACAAGAAAACAAGCCUAGGCUCUGAUACCACUGUUGGGUUUUGAGCAAUCUAACACUCCUAAGUGUACAUGCAACCCUAAAUACCUUGGAUCUAUGUUUUCUCUAUUAUACAUGCAAAUAUCAACUUUCCAAGGUAUUGUUCUAUUCUAGCAUACAAAACUUUGAAUAACACAAGUUAGAAUAACAUACCUUUUGUUGGUGCUUGUCUUCAUGAAGCUUGAGUGCCUAGUGCCCCAAGUGUGACACCUCAAAUGGUUCACACAACACCAUAAGCACUUGGAAUAACUUAGAGAGAAAUUAGAACACUUC